AACACAGAUAGAUAGAGAGAGACAGAGAGAGAGCGCCGUCUACAUUGCCAAUUUGCCAUCGUCGUCGCCGUCCACGGCCUUUUCCCUUUCUCUCUCUUUUGAUUUAAGGUUUGGGGUUCACUCCUUUGUUGAUUUAACCACCUGUUGUUGUUGUUUCUCAAAAUCGACUUCUAUUUAAUUCAUCAGGUAGAGUAUUUGAGGUUGAUUUGCUAAAAUUUUAGGUUUUUCUUUUGUUAAUUGUAUCCGUAGGAAUUUAUGUAUUGUGGACUUUUAUGUGAUUCUCGAAUUUGAUUUUCAUUUUAUCGCUUCCCGAAGUUGGAGGUUGCGAUUGUGGUUGAUGACUUAAGGGUUUCAAUUAACUGAUUUUUUUAACAUCGAGAUUAGAUACUUAUUCAUGUUUGCUUUUCAUGUCUUAUUUUUUGUAUGUAUUUCGUGUCCUGAUGUGUUAUAGAAUUUAGAUUAAAUUAUGUGUUCUCUGAAAAUCAUGACUAUAGAAGUUAGUAGUUGCUCUAUUUCACUUGCUAGAUGGAUGUGAAUAUGUUCCUAUAUCGAAUAUGUACCAUGAUUUGGUUAUCUUUUGACUAUAGAAGUUAGUAGUUGCUCUAUUUCACUUGCUAGUUUUUUUUGUAGAAUAGAAAAAUAUUGGACCCUUUCUUGUGUCAUUUACAUUUCUUUUCAGCCGAUGGUCUAUCAGAAAUAGUACCCACUUGUGGUUGUUGUAAAAAUUUUAGGCCUGGGAAGUUUUUUUUUUUUUUUCAAUUUAAUGUUGGUGGAGAUACUUUUUUUUCCCCAGAAAUGGACAAGAAAAAAGACGGGAGAUUUUUUGUUUUGGUGGAAUUGGUAAUGCUAUAAGGGUGAAAGUGAAUUUGAUGAAUAUGAUUUUUUUUUGUUUGUUUUAACUCGUUGUUUCGUCUUCUUCGUAUUAAAUUUAACGGUUACUAAAUAACAAAACCUCAUUAAUGUUUUUCUUGUCUGUUUCUGCAAAAUAUUCUUAUUCUUAUUCAUCCAUAUAUGUGUGGAUUAAUUUUGGUGUUUGCAAGGUUGAGUAACGCGUGUCAUCUUGUAUUCCUCCUUUUCUACAUUUUUAGUUAUUUGUUAUAGUUAUUUAUCCUUCUUUUUGUUUUGAGUUUCUUGUAAGUUCUGUUUUCUCUAAAUUCUCUGAUGAUAUUACUGGGUUUUGAUUGUAAUGGAGAAAAUGUCAUAAUUGCAAAGAAAUUGAAGAAUAGGGGGCAAAUUUUGUUUUUUCAUUUUCUUGUAAGUUCUGUUUUCUCCAAAUUCUAUAAUAAUAUUACUGGGUUUUGCUUUGAACGCUUAGAUUGCAAAGGAGGAAAUGAAAAUGUCAUAACUGCGAAGAAAAGGAAGCGAACUUGAGUGUUGCUAGUGAAGUAUAAUCUAGUAUGAACAACAUUGAUGAGAUGAAUCCCAAUGUUUCUGUUCGAAAGCGGUUUAAGUUUCCCAAAAAGUUUUUUGAUGAGUGUAAUGGAGUUGAUCAUGAUUCUGUUCCUCGGAAACUUCGUUCAGGUGAAAUGUUUCGUGAUUGAGUUAAACUUUGGAAUUCCAGUCCAUCUCUCCGCCUUUGCCAAAUUUCAAAAAGAUGAAUCACAUGUCAGAUGGAGCUGAAACAUUAAGGAAAUAUGUCAACAAGUCCAAGCUUAAUUUGACUCAUUGUGGCUCGAGUUAUUUUUCUGUUUGUCAGUAUUUUUCUUAAGUUCACGAUGCUAAGGUGGAUUUCAUAACUGAAAAGUGAUAAGAUAUCACCGCUUUCUUUAAGUCUGAAAAGGUCAGAUUUUUAACUUCUCCUUUGAUCUUUAUAGAGAACACAUAAUAUUGGUUUGUGUUGUGGCGCGAUGCUUGAGUACUAUGUUUUAGGACUUAAUUACUGACUUAUUGAAUAUGGCAUGAUAGAAAUAUAGAUUCUUCGGAGUUUAGAAUCUCUGUUAAAGGUAUUAAUAAAGGUAUGCAUUAUGCCUUAGAAUACAUGUCUAUAGGUGUUGAUCGUGUUCGUUUCCUUUGAACUUGAAUGCCGAUAAAGAUGGCUGAAUACAAUCUAUGAAUUACUAAUGUUGUUUCAUGGUUUUCAAUUACUGUUUAUUAACUUGUCUAUAAGAAUGAUUUGCUUGGAAUAAGAAAUACGUUUUAGUAGGAAAAUUGCAAUGUAAAUUGGCUACUUCGAUUGAGUCUUUGUAUAUGUAAAACCAUUAUUCUAAGAAGUUACGUGAUAGAACUUUUCUCCAUCUCUGUAGUGAUAAACCAUAUCUCACCAUAUCUCCAGUAGUUCCUUUGGAGGAUCACAAGAUCUUCAAAUUAUUGAGAAGUGUUAUCCCAUGCAGAAAAGUAUAUUCUUGACGUUGACAAAUGAGCAGGUUUAUUCUUAACUUUCUAAUAUAUAGGUGUUGAUCGUGUUCGUUUCCUCUGAACUUGAAUGCCGAUAAAGAUGGCUGAAUACAAUCUAUGAAUUACCAAUGUCGUUUCAUGGUUUUCAAUUACUGUUUAUUAAUUUGUCUAUAAGAAUGAUUUGCUUGGAAUAAGAAAUACGUUUUAGUAGGAAAAUUGCAAUGUAAAUUGGCUACUUCGAUUGAGUCUUUGUAUAUGUAAAACCAUUAUUCUAAGAAGUUACGUUUUGCAUAACUUGGGGGCUUAUCGAAAUCCCUAAUUUGCUGCUAAACUUGAAAUGGAGUGACUGCUGCCUGCUGUUGGUUUUUCGAGCCACAUUUGGAGUUGGGUUUGUUGGUAAGAAACUGCUGCAUUUUGGAUCAUUUGGCUGCUGAACUUCAGGAUGCCAAGGGCAAUGAUGUUGAUCUCAGUCUGAUAUUGAUCAAUGUGAAGCAUAUUACGAAGCUGCUGGGGGAACAAGGAAGAGAAGAAUAUAUGGUCUUGGAUCUCAAGCACAAAGUUAUCUGCUUUUUGUUGGAAAGAACAAAAUUAUGCACUAACAAUACUUGAUGGAUGUGUGGGUUCUUUUGGUAGUUGACAGCUUGGUGUUGUCGGUGUUUUGGACUUAACGAUUAGGAUUUCGCUAUCUAUUUUGAAUCUUUUUUAUAAAUAUUAUUUUAUGUGAAUGUCAGUUAUUUUUAAGGGUAUUUAUUACUUUGUAUUUA